CGCCCACGGAACGCCGUCUGGAGGUGAAUGUGGACGAAAAUAGAAAUCGCUGGAGAAACUCGGCAGGUUUGACAGUUUCUGUGGAGUUAAAGCAGAGAUGUUGCCAGACCUGCUGUGUUUCCGCAGCAGUCUGUUUUUGUUUCAGAUUUUCUGCAUCUGUAGUGCUUUAUGUUUAUUUUAGUCUCAAGUUACAACUCCAAUUACCAAACUGUGAUUUGCUGAAUGAAAACGAGGAACAUCUUCAGGAUUGGUGACAGUGAUUUCAUAUAGAUUUCAUAUAAAUGGAAACUGAGAAUCUGCAUUUCAAGAUCCAAACUCCGCAAUAAUUGAUUUCCUGACAAAGUGAGAUGAUUACAAACUGUUCCAGUUGACAAAAUUCUACCAAGAUAGACUUGAACAAGCAAUUGAAGAGGGGGUAAAAGGCCUUGGACUAAUGUUAACAGGUGCUGACCAAUUCACUGGACAAGAAUAUCAUGUAAGUGGAAAGCAGUUCUCAAAUUACAUUGGCUGUGGGCUAAAUCGCCCAAGAGGAUUCAAUCACUGGAGUGACCAACCAAAAAUAGUUGCCCCUGUAAAUGGAAUUAAACAAAGC